rnacentral:rRNA from 1 species
UACGAAGGGAGCUAGCGUUGUUCGGAAUCACUGGGCGUAAAGCGCACGUAGGCGGAUGUGCCAGUCAGGGGUGAAAUCCCGGAGCUCAACUCCGGAACUGCCUCUGAUACAGCACGUCUUGAGUCCGGAAGAGGUGGGUGGAAUUCCUAGUGUAGAGGUGAAAUUCGUAGAUAUUCGCAAGAACACCAGUGGCGAAGGCGGCUCACUGGCCCGAUACUGACGCUGAGGUGCGAAAGCGUGGGGAGCAAACAGG